CUCUGUCUCGAAAGAUUCAGGGCGAAAAGGAG
ncrna:Robertmurraya massiliosenegalensis JC6 L31-Firmicutes ribosomal protein leader